rnacentral:rRNA from 1 species
AGAGUUUGAUCCUGGCUCAGGAUGAACGCUGGCGGCGUGCCUAACACAUGCAAGUCGAACGGAGUAAUCCCACGGAAGUCUUCGGAUGAAAGAGAGAUUACUUAGUGGCGGACGGGUGAGUAACGCGUGGGCAACCUGCCCUGUACCGGGGGAUAACACUUAGAAAUAGGUGCUAAUACCGCAUAAGCGCACAGCUUCGCAUGAAGCGGUGUGAAAAACUCCGGUGGUACAGGAUGGACCCGCGUCUGAUUAGCUUGUUGGUGGGGUAAAGGCCUACCAAGGCGACGAUCAGUAGCCGGCCUGAGAGGGUGAUCGGCCACAUUGGGACUGAGACACGGCCCAAACUCCUACGGGAGGCAGCAGUGGGGAAUAUUGCACAAUGGGGGAAACCCUGAUGCAGCGACGCCGCGUGAGUGAAGAAGUAUUUCGGUAUGUAAAGCCCUAUCAGCAGGGAAGAAAAUGACGGUACCUGACUAAGAAGCCCCGGCUAACUACGUGCCAGCAGCCGCGGUAAUACGUAGGGGGCAAGCGUUAUCCGGAUUUACUGGGUGUAAAGGGAGCGUAGACGGCAGGGCAAGUCUGAAGUGAAAGCCCGGGGCUCAACCCCGGGACUGCUUUGGAAACUGUCCGGCUAGAGUGCAGGAGAGGUAAGUGGAAUUCCUAGUGUAGCGGUGAAAUGCGUAGAUAUUAGGAGGAACACCAGUGGCGAAGGCGGCUUACUGGACUGUAACUGACGUUGAGGCUCGAAAGCGUGGGGAGCAAACAGGAUUAGAUACCCUGGUAGUCCACGCGGUAAACGAUGAUUACUAGGUGUCGGGGGUUAAUAAACCUUCGGUGCCGCAGCAAACGCAAUAAGUAAUCCACCUGGGGAGUACGUUCGCAAGAAUGAAACUCAAAGGAAUUGACGG